GUAGAAAUAAGAUCAUGAGAAGUAUUCAUAACCAGAUUUCUUAAUGAGAAGGGAUUACUAACAUCUCACAAAAUCCACUGUGCUUUCCUUAUGUUAGCAUUUUUGCAUAAACAAAAGAAAGCAAACUGUAACUGUUCAAUACUUCUGAAAUCCUUUGUUGGCAGGCAUAUGGCAGAAUCAGAGUGGAAAAUCAUGUUCCUGUAAAGGCUGCAGAUGAAAUCAACGAACUUGCUAUCACUUAUGACAGUAAAAAGAUUUUCCUUUUGAGUGACAACUGGUGUUAUCUGCUGUGAUAACAUUGCUACAUCUCCUCUAAGCAAAGAAAUAAGAAUAAGAAUUAAUUUUGUAUAACUGUUAAACCUUGCUUCAGAGGAGAACAAAAAAAGAAAAGAAGAAAAAGAGCAAGCAAGCAAACUGACAAAUCCAGAACAUGAAACUGGGUAUCUGAAUUCAACAAUCACAGUCAUUUUUUAGUACUAAGUUACCCAAGAUUUGACCAGUUUGCUAUUCCUUUUACAUGUAUUAGAACAUGGUUCUAUCUGAAUUUUAUCAGAAGAAAUUUGGCACAUAAUUUAUCACUGUAUCUUACCAAAUAACCAGUUCUUAAGGUUAACUUCUGCAUUUGCCUAUACAGCCUAAUGAACAACGUUUGUUGUUUUGGAUAUUCUUUAUUUCAACACAGUGCACAACAAGCAUUGUGGUGGCUGUAUGGCAGCAUGGUUAAACUUUCUGCUCCUAGGAGGCAUCAAGUGAGGCUUCCACAUGCUGAGCAUCUACCUCUUUUCUCACUAACCUUCAGAGCAGUUAAGGAUGACUAGAGUUUUACAGCACCAAAUUCAGUGAGAUUUGGCCUGCAGCAAGUACAUCUUCCAUGAGUUCCACUAAAAGAAAAUGAAUGUAUUGUUAGAAAACAUUACUGAUUGAGCCCAGAAUCCACGCAAAUCAUCAGAGGAACAGCUUGCAAGUCACUUUUGAGAAACAUAGCAGCAAAUGCUUAGCACAGUAUUAUGCAGACCUACUGUAGCAAGGUUUCUCUAUGGCUUGUACCUGCAAGAUAGUGCUCUGCUGCAUGGGUAUUACAACUUAACAGAUUUUUGUGUCACUUUGCAAAUUUAAAUAUAUGAUUGAAAUGAAAUCAAGAUUAAUAACAUGUAUGAUAAAUUGCUGUUAAUAUAUGGAAAUUUUAUGUGAAAAAAUUAAAGAAUAUUCAACUGAGUUAAAAUUUUACCUGCAAACUCACAUUUGCCAACAAAAAUAGUGUGGGCUGUAGGUCAUGUAGUACAAUUGUUUAAUGUAACUGGGCAAAACAGCAAAGGAUAUCAUUAUACUACAGUAAAUAACCCUGUGGUAUACAGCCUGAUAUGACUCUCCAUAUUGGUAGGCUAAAUAUGGAAAUCCAAAGUCUUUUUGCAAUAAAGUCCCUCUUUCAUAUAUAUAUCUAUAUAUCUGAAAGAAAGCUUUUAUUUUUUUUCUCUGAAAAUCCUGAAAGGUUAAUCGUGGUUUAAAAUAAGUAACUCUCAAUUUUUCCUUUGUGGUCAUCAAUUCCACUUCUCCAAAUAACCUCAUAAAGACAAUGGGACCAAUGCCAAAACAAAAAUUAAAUGUUCGUGUGAUCCCCAAGGGAAGACAUACUUUAACUAUGAAGUAUUCUCACAAGAAACCUUGUAAACCUUACAUGAAAGUGAAUGAUCUAAAGUUUGUGGAAUUCACAUUUGUUGCUCUGACAGAGCUGUUUAUCAAAAUAACAACAAUUUUCAAAGAAAGAAUAGCUAAUUUGGGCUAUAUUGCUUUUCUGUAGGAAAGAACCUAUAAAUAAUAAGUUCAGUAAGUUCUUGGUUUAGUUUGCAGUUGAUCUAGUUUGUUAUGCAGCAGUCAGUUAAUCCCUUCAAAGUAUCAUCUAUUCGUCAGCUCAUUAUUUUCUCUAAGCAUAGAUGGAAUAUAUUAAAACUAUUUGGAAGCAUUUAAAAAGAAAAAAGCUUGGAAUAGUACCCUGCAUGUCAGCCCUUUUGAGAACAGAAGAAAAAAAACAACACAACAGAUGCUUUGUUGUAUUGUUUCCCAAGAUACUUCUUCUGUCCUUUCCUUUUUUCCUCAUCUACUGUAUUUAUCCGUGCUUCUUACCCUCAUUUAAGGAACUGCACUUAAAAAGCAAGUCAAGUUACAUUUGACAGCUAUCGUUGCACUCAUAUUACCCUGAUAUUCUCUAGCUUCUCUUUGCUUUUGUUACUGAUUUGUAAGAGCUGGCUGUAAUUUGGUAGCAUGCAUUUAAAAGAAGUGGCAGUUUAACAUCAAAAGAUAUAGAAUCAGUAAAGGUCUCAGAUUUGCACAAGGUUUCCACAAAUACAAUAUGCUAUUGUUUGUACUGCAUAUGCAUAACAAUUUUUGUAAAUAUUCAGCCUUGCUUGCCAGUAAGUUCUCAGUCAUGUGUAUGGGCCUAGACUGUUUUACAGUUCAAGUUUUUUAUUCGGUCUGCUUAGAAAGAUAGCAGCAAAAGUGCUCCUGGACUGCAAAGCAAACUGGAUUUCACCCAGAGUGAGUAAGCAACCUAACAGCACUGAACAGUAUAUCUGCAAUAUAUAUCUAAAUGGUUUAAAAUCUUGGAAUACUGUGCCAUAUUCCCUAACAUAAAUGUCUUUUAUUUGCAGCUAACUGGGAAAUAUAUAUAUAUAUAUAUAUGUAUAUAUAGAUAUCUAUAUAUAAAAACAGAUCUUGAAACUUGCAAUUUUCACUCCGAGUUAUAGCAGAAAAUUUUCUGAUUUAUUGCAUAUAUACUGCAGGUAUAAAAAUAGAUCUUGGUUAGUCAAGAACCAUAUAAGAGAAUAUAUGGAAAAUACAGCUGGUUGUAAACAAGGGAAGAUAUGUAAGGCUGAAUAUGAGCAGGAGUGAAAUUAUGUGUCAUAUUAGCAAUUUCACUUGACAUUAUAAGCAAACAGGAGAUAACUCAAGCAGGCACGGAAGUUAUAAUGAUCUAGCUGCAAUGAACUAGCUCACAGUUAUUCAAGCCAUGACGCGCAACAGGUCUGUACAGGUGGUUGUGUGGUAGGGUCAACAUCAGUAGCUUCUGUCUCUGGAAAGCAUUUUCUUAUUGAACUCUUGUCUUUCUGACACCCACCGCUGCUAACCUGCUCCUAAGCAUGGCUUACUGGCAGAGGUUGCCCAGAGAAGCUGUGGAUAUUCCAUCCCUGGAGGUAAUCAAGGAUAGGGCCCUGGGCAGCCUGAUCUAGUGGAUGAUAACCCUGCCCAUGGAAUGGAGGUGGAAAUGGAUGGACUUUAAGGCCCCUUCCAACUUAAACCAUGGUAUGAUUCUGUGAUUCUACAUGUGACCUCACAGGGACAACAGUUUUCAAGUGUAGUGUUUAGUUACUCAAUAACCUAAAUAUAUUUCACAAAGGAAGAGGAAGAACAGUUCUAGCUUCCAAUUUUCGCUGGGUGUUAGAGUCUCGUGGGCUCAGUACUUUCCUAGAAGCACCUGCUAUCUUUCCAUAGGUCUCAUAGGUCCCUGGAGCUAGGGAUGGCUGAGGGUUACUGAUCACAGUGAGCUCAGCAGGCUGUCACUCACUCAUACAGCAUAGUGAUGUUGUAGUGCUGAGGCCAAGGCCUCCAUUCCCUUUUUGUAAGCUCUCCUCGGCAGUUCUGCAGUGAACAGGAUGACUUGCCUAAUGGCACCGUGGCUCCUGUAGGAUCCAUUCCAUUAAGUAACCAGACUGAAAUACUGCAACAUUGCCUUCAUUCUCCAUGGGUGCCCAGAAUACUUCUCUGCUAGGAACUGCACCAAAACCAAGCUGCUCAACUCAGGAAGCGUGCCACAUGGAAAACACAGUGACUGGCGUGCCCUAGUGCUUACUAUCCAUUUCAAUGGGUUUCUCUUCAUGCCAGUUUAAUGGAAUGCUGCAGACAACAGGGAGAGAUGACUCCCUGGGCAAGCACAGGAAAGAGAGAGACAAUAUGUGAUAAGCAAUCAGUUUGGAUCGCUGCAACUCUGAGGCUGUGGUUGAACUUCAUCGCUGGCUGCAGUGACUCCAGUAGUGGGUGCCGAUCCAGGCCAGGACGUUGGUGCAGCCGGGCACUGUGCCAGGGGUGGGGCAGGUAGCAGAUCAGCCUGCCACUCCCUGCGCCCAGCCUGCAGCUCCCUGGGCCCGCUGCCUGCUGGGCCGUGCUGCCUGUGUGGGGCUGCAUUCCUCAUGUGGACACCUCAGCUUCGUGAGGCUGUGGGCCUUGCCUCUUUGGUUCAGAUCUGGUUGGUGCCUUACUUUAUGAAACUGCCUGAUGAUCAAUAAGAACACUCCAUGUGUGUGUAAAAGGAGAAGACUGGCAUGAACCCUGCAGAACUCGCUCGGCAACAGGUCAUUAACAAUUCUAAGAAGUAUAUAAAGUAAACCAUAACAAAAGAAAGAAGCCUUGGGAUUUAUCUGAGAUUUCCUCCAUUAAGGAAUUUGGCCGUAUGGACUUUGCUUAUGCUACUGCACAAGAAACGGAACAGUGAAGUAUUCUGGGAUCUGUAGUUCAUUCUUUCUCUUCUGAGAACCAGACAUCUGGAACAAUCGGCAAUCCAUGGAAUGGCAGCAUUAACUCUUUAACUCCCAGUGCACUACAUGAUGUUAUGAUGUGAAAUAUCAAUAAUGGAAAUCAUAAAACCAUGACACAUUGAAUUCCUCUGUGUGGAAAAAAUGGCGCCUGUUGAUGUUAGUCAACACUUGCUUAUGGAGAUGAAAUGUGGCUGUGAGCACAGAGAGUUGGUGAGUGAUUUGUUUCAGCAGUGGCAAUAGCAAUAUGAAAGACAAGUCCCAGGCAGCCAUGCACAGCUGUCACACCAUGAAAUGAACAUCACCUCAACCAGAUCGCCCAUGCAAAUGAGCUAGUGGUGGUGAGUAUGUUGAAAAACAGUGUUAUGUAUGUAUUUUUCUCAAUCAAAUAGUGCUAUUGUGCUCUUUGUAUCUGUUGUACUUUCCAUGGAAACAAAUAGGAGGCAUUUCUUUCGGAGUGACUAACAUACAGAAGUAAUCUCUUUUUCCCCUGCACUCCCUUCUUGGUGUUGUAACAGUCUCUAAUAUACGAACUGCACAUUUUCUGUUUUUGUACUUUAGUUGAUCUACUUGAUCUAUGGAAAGUACAACUUAAGUUUAUAUUUUUGUAACAAGUUUUCAGAUUAUCAGACUCAUUUACUUCUUCCCUCUACCUCUUCUUUGUUUGCAAGAAAACAAUUAAUAGAAAUGAGAAUUUUUAUGAUAGUGGCUAGGAUCGAGUUUUCAGCUUUCAAAAUUCUCAGUAUAUACAUACAGAUCAUAUUACCAUUGGGAAAGCUUUUAUUAAUCUCAAUGUCAGAACUGUUUCAACAAAUCUACUGUAAUAAUGAAAAGACAUCUUAUCACAUUUUGCUCUCAGUAAAUUUGCUAUUCUUUGAUAAGGUUGCAAACAAGUGGGAAGUAAUUGAUCUCUAAUUAGUGUGGCAACUGCACAAGACAGACUGCAGUGGGAUUUCAUCAUUUAUCUGCCCUGUGCUGUGCAUCCUGCUCUGUAACAUUAAAUUAUUUACCUUCUCCCUUCAAAUAUAAAUGGUUUUAUGCAUCCUCCAUUAUUCUAGGACCUCUCUGAAGAUGAAAAUAACAUCUGAAUUUCUGAUUAUUUGUCAGUGGUAGAGUUACUGCUGUAGCGAUCAUUUUUCACACAUGCCUUGCCAUGUCCUUAGUUAGCAAGCCAUUGUCUGCCCAUGCCUGUGAAUGGACACAACAAAAGACUCUUUGAUCUGUACCCAGUUUGUGCUAUUUGCCACUUGGCUGCACUAAACCUUCUGAUAUAUGUGAUUGCCAUAGCUUCUUCAAGAGUUCAUAGAAUUCUUCAAGAGCUGUGGUAACUAAAAGGCAUGAGUUUAACAUGCUAUGGUACAGCAUCACCAUCAUCACAUUCAUUACAGUUUCCAGUUACCCAGAUGCUGUCAGCCACUCUUUCCUAAGAGUGUGUUCCAGGCCAUAAUGAGUGUCCAUGGUGAGAAGAGUGGCUUUUCAAUAUUUUUAUUUUUUUUAGUAGCAUGACUCUUUAACAUUGUAAAAGCAUGUAAAUUGGAUGAGUUUCUUCAGUGCUCUAUCCUUCCUUAAGUGCAAAAAGUGCAGAGAAGGAGAUAGCUGGCUGUUGGCCUGGGAAAAGAAGUGGCCAUAGUUUAAUUCACAUAACUGAAGAUGUAAGUUCUUUGGAAUAUGAAGAAGAGAGAUAUGGCGUUACCUUUUUGUCACUUAGCUUCAUUUUCUUUUCAUUAAUUGUUACGUUAUUCUGUUCUCCAAGAAGUCAAAAGGAGAGUCUGUCACUUGAACCAAAAAGUGUCAGGACAGUCACAUAUUAGUUCAUAUCUAGCCUCUCAAACUUUAUUAACGUUUACUGUAUAACCAACACAGAAAAACAAGCAGAGCAGAAUAUCAAGUGACAGUCCUCCAGCACUGUAUUUAGUGACAUGAUGAAAUUGUAGAUAUUAGUUUCCAUUCUGUUUCUUACACAUUGAGAAACUGGCUUUUUCUCCACAGCUGUAUAAUAAAUUAGAAGUUUUUGAUGAGCUGAUCAAGUUGAUAUGCUGAGCUACUGUUACAGAGCAUAACAAUUAGCCCAAGAGCUUUAAAAAUUCUUUCCAGUAUAUAUUUGCUACCAGCUAAUUUCAUUUGUUCAUUUCCUUAGCUUUGUUGUGCCCUCUGAAAUGCCUCAUGGUGUCAUCAGUAUCAAUGAAACCAAUCUCAGUAUUCCUGCCUGUUCUCUAAUUGACAAUCACUAAUGUAUUAACACCACCAGUCCUGCCUCAGCACUUUGAAUAGAUCCUUUUCUGUUGUAUACAUGCUCUACUUCUCAUGAUUGCUGUACGUAGUGCUUGAGCUAUCCCUUUUUGAAGCGGCCCCCUUAAGAUUCAUCUCUUUUCAUAUAACAGUUGGAGAGUGUCUAGUCUAGUAAUAGAACAUGGGCAGCAUUUUUUUCUGCCUACCACUGAUAGCAUAUGUUUUGAUGAUUUGCAGGUUUCCCUGCAGCCUGUUUUCUAGUAAAAAUUACACAUGUGAUGAGAAAUAGACAUCUUCCCAAGUGCCCCACCAGAUCUCUGUCGUGCAGAGCUUCACAGAUGGUGCUCAGACUGCUGCCAGAUUUUCUGUGAAUGGAAGUGGUUUACUGGAGCUCAGUCAUACUUCAGAUCUGGUUGCAUAAAGUAUCUGCCCUUAUUUGACUUCUCCUGUGCUCAGACUUACUGAGGAAAUCAAACAGAAGCCGAACUUCAUUAAGAUACACUAAUGGGGAUCUGGCAGAAAGCCUCUGAACACACAACUAAAUGGCAAAGGGGUACAUAGCCAGCACAAAGUAGAGUGUGAUUAUCACAGCCCAAGGUGAACACUUUGCACAGGUCUUGUGGGUGGCAGCUGGGGCACAUUUGUCUGCUCACUCAGCCCCUUGGCAUGCUCAGGAGCUGAGGAGUGGCCUCCUCUGCCUGUGCCUGGUGGCCACGUCAACACAACUUGCUCAUGCAUUUGCCACGUAGUUUCCACAGCCUCUACCUAAGCUGGGAAGUAUGGUUUAAAGCUGUCAGUUCUGGUCUCAAACUGUUCUAAGAAGUAGGUGGUGGUUUACUGAAAAAAAAAAAAAAAAAAAAAAAGAGCUCUGUGUGUUUUUUUCGGAAUGGCGAUAAGAAAAAGCAGGUGUAUAAAUAUGUGAAGAUUAGCACUUGGCUCAGGAGGUUGGUAGUUACAAUUAGCUUACUGAUAUAAAUCCAGUUCAGAUGACCCGAAUUAGCUACCAAGUGACAGACUGAUGUGCUGGGUGACGUGAGUUUGGUCCCCUUCGUUCAGAACAAAGGAGACAAGUGUCCUCCCUUGCAAAAUCCCACUGCUGAUGCUGUGGGCUGGCAGAAACAAGGAAGACUCCCACAGAGGCUUUAGAUGAUUUCCCACGCAGUGCUUUUGGCUCUGGGCCUGCUAAGUUUGGCCAUGGGGUGUGCACAUAUGCAUGCAUGUGUGUUCAGGGUACUGCAGAGCCUGUGCCUCUGCAAGCUGUAGGGCCACGACAGGGCGGGCAGAGCAGCGUAGCUCCACAGCCCUGGCAGGGGAGGAUAUCUCUCCUGGGGGACCAAGAAGCAAGAAGCACCACUGACUCUUCGCCAGGAGGAAGGUCACCCUCUUGGCUGUCCUUAAUCUUUAAGUAAGUGCAAAUCUGUUGAAGGUAGAGUUAAAUGGAAAUUAUUUCCAUAAACAAAAGCCAGUGGAAAUAUGUUGAAUCCUGAUGAACCUACACAGACGUUGUGCGGUGGAAUGGAAAAAAAAUGAAACCCCCUACACAUGUAAACAUACAUAGAGCCUGCCAAAGUGGGAUGUGAUCAAAGCAAAAAGAUGCAAACAUAUGGACAAAUUUUUAGCAAAAGAAAAGCGUAGCCAAGUUCACUGACCUUUAUUUUAAUUUUCUUUAGUUCUCAGCCUUAUGAGGAGUGCAGGAAAUGGAAUGUGCUAAUCCCAGCUAGUACAGUCUCCAAGAAAGGUGCAAAAUCUCCCCGAACCAGAUAAAAUUGAAUGCAGCCAGAAGCCUGUUUAAUCAGCCCUCCCCCAGUGUCCUUCCAAAUAAAGCUCUCCUGAUACUCUAUCAGGGGCCACCAAAUGAGUCAACAAGGAACCUGCAGUGCAGCAGAGAGCUUGUUUUUAACAAUAUAUUAAUACAUCUCAUAGCAAGAUCACUUCAAUGAAAUGAGAAUUUAUUUGAAACACUGGGGGAUAUUUUUUUCAUAUGGCAAUGAAGAGCUUCUGAUUUUUUGUUGUUGCUCCAUUUCCUGCACCUCUGUUUAUUGUCACAUCAUUCCAUAGCACCCAGCAGAGCAAUAGGAAAUGUUGUUAGGGAGCACACUGACUAGGGGUUUAAAGUGACUUCUGGAGGCCUGUAUUUGCAUUUUUUCUGCGUGUGUGUGUGUUUUCUUUUUUAAAUCUUGUGAUGUUUUCAGCCUGCCGGUACAUGUUUAUGAACACUGAGGGUAGAAUUAGGAGUUUUCAUAUGAUUAUUAUUAUUUUGCAUGUACAGAGCUGUUUUCAUUCCGAAGUAUGAAUUUAAGGUGGAAAUCCUUGUCUGGCAAACAACUGAACACCCAUUGUGCAAACACACUAUAGCAGAACGAUAUUAAGGGCCCAAGCUGAGGACAUUAACACAAUUUCAUGAGCAUCUCAUUCCUGUCUCUGAUCAGUCCAGUGAGAGCUCAAACUUUGGCUAUUCAUUGCAGAAGGCUAGACCCUUUCCUGCUCAUACCAGUGGGAGUUCUACCACUGACUUUUGUGGGGCUGGGAUUGGCUCAUCCGUAGGCUGCAGUUAGUGAGAAGAAAGGCUGCCAAAGUGACUCAUCAACUUGGGCUGACAGCAGAGCAGUGUCUUAGCUGUGCCACCUGCCAGCCCCAAAGCUGACUCACAAACAUGUGUAUCCUGCUUGAAAAGCUCUCCUAACGAGCGCACUGCUAUUUAACCUUUCUCUGUUUUCCCAAGCAUUUCUGAAGACAAAUCUUUUCUUUCAGCUGCCUGCUGGACCUCAGUGUCAGUGAUGCAUAGCAGGCUCAUGGGUUGUGUUUAGUUUUGACCUGACUUGCAACAGCGUUAUCAGUGAAGUUCACAGAAUGCUGUGAUGGAGCCAGUACAAAACCACAGGACACACAUACACUGUCUAAUCUUUAGGAUGCUGUCCUAAAUUAUAGUACAAGAUCUGUAAUAUGACAACUCUCUUAUUUGACUUUUAUAUGACUGCCUAUAAGCAUUUUUGCCCAUAUACUUUUUGUAAAACAGCACAGCACUUGAAGGAUUCAUGACUCAGCACUUUAUUAAACUGUUCAGUUUUUAUUCUCACUUGAAGGUAAUGCCAAUCCACAGUUUAUCCACUUAUAAUAUAGGUGAUACAGCAUCGUCAUAGUUAAUUCUUAUGAUAUGGGUUUUAACUGAGCACUGAUCCUGUAAUUAACAGACACUGUGAGACCACAGAAAUAGGAACACAAUUGAAAAUGUAGACAUUAUUGACCAGAAUGAAAGGUUUCAAUAGGAAGUAUCACGGUCUCUCAAGUAAGUGUUCUUUUCUGUUAUGUGAUGACAGGAAACCAAGAAAUGGCACAGAUCUGCUCCACGGGAGGCUCAGAAUGUACCUCAGGAAAAAAUUCUUUAUUGUGAGGGUGAUCAAAAACUCGGACACACUUCCUAGAGAGGUGGUUGAUGCUGCUCCCUUUCAGUGUUCAGGAGGCAUUUGGACAAUGCCCUCAGUAACAAGCUUUAUCUUUUGGUUGGCCUUGAAGCUGGGCUAGAUGAUCUCUGGAGAUCCCUUCCAACUGAACUAUUCUAAUCUAGUAUAAUCUUGUCUAG
ensembl:lncRNA